CACGUAGGGUGCGAGCGUUGUCCGGAAUUAUUGGGCGUACAGAGCUCGUAGGCGGUGUGUCGCGUCGGCCGUGAAAACCUGCAGCUUAACUGUGGGCUUGCGGUCGAUACGGGCAUCACUGGAGUUCGGCAGGGGAGACUGGAAUUCCUGGUGUAGCGGUGAAAUGCGCAGAUAUCAGGAGGAACACCGGUGGCGAAGGCGGGUCGCUGGGCCGAUACUGACGCUGAGGAGCGAAAGCGUGGGGAGCGAACAGG
rnacentral:rRNA from 1 species